UACGGGGGGUGCGAGCGUUGUCCGGAAUCACUGGGCGUAAAGGGCGCGUAGGUGGCUUGAUAAGGGUGUGGUGAAAGUCCGGGGCUCAACCCCGGAUCUGCCGUGCCGACUGUCAAACUCGAGGGCUGUAGAGGCAGACGGAAUUCCGGGUGUAGCGGUGGAAUGCGUAGAGAUCCGGAGGAAGACCGGUGGCGAAGGCGGUCUGCUGGGCAGUUUCUGACACUGAUGCGCGACAGCGUGGGGAGCAAACAGG
rnacentral:rRNA from 1 species